UACGUAGGGACCAAGCGUUGUUCGGAUUUACUGGGCGUAAAGGGCGCGUAGGCGGCAAUUCAAGUCAGCUGUGAAAUCUCCGGGCUUAACUCGGACGGUCAGCUGAUACUGCUUUGCUAGAGUGCAGAAGGGGCAAUCGGAAUUCUUGGUGUAGCGGUGAAAUGCGUAGAUAUCAAGAGGAACACCUGAGGUGAAGACGGGUUGCUGGGCUGACACUGACGCUGAGGCGCGAAAGCUAGGGUAGCAAACGGG
rnacentral:rRNA from 1 species